CACGUAGGGUGCGAGCGUUGUCCGGAAUUAUUGGGCGUAAAGAGCUCGUAGGCGGUGUGUCGCGUCUGCCGUGAAAACCUGCAGCUUAACUGUGGGCUUGCGGUCGAUACGGGCAUCACUGGAGUUCGGCAGGGGAGACUGGAAUUCCUGGUGUAGCGGUGAAAUGCGCAGAUAUCAGGAGGAACACCGGUGGCGAAGGCGGGUCUCUGGGCCGAUACUGACGCUGAGGAGCGAAAGCGUGGGGAGCGAACAGG
rnacentral:rRNA from 1 species